AGUAACGACAGGUUCCUUUGUGAUAACACCAAAUGCAUCCCGAAAGACUGGCUCUGUGAUGGCGACGAUGAUUGUGAGGACAAGACAGACGAACAGGACUGUGAGUGCAGUAACGACGAGUUCCUUUGUGAUAACACCAAAUGCAUCCCGAAAUACUGGCUCUGUGAUGGCGACGAUGAUUGUGAGGACAAGACAGACGAACAGGACUGUGGUGGACUUGCAUUUCAAAGAAGUGAAAUGUGUUUUUCCGCAGGGAACGCAUACAAGUGUAAAAGCGGCGAUAAAAUUUGUGGUGUGAAAGUUUGCGACGGCAGAGGACUGUC